UUACGGCCACAUUACAGUGAAACACUGAUUCCUGUACAAUCUACGAAAUUAAGCAACGUCGUGCCUGGUCAGUACCCAGAUGGGUGACCGCUGGGGAAUACCAGGUGCUGUAAG